rnacentral:rRNA from 1 species
AAACCAACAGGGAUUGCCUUAGUAGCGGCGAGUGAAGCGGCAAGAGCUCAAAUUUGAAAUCUGGUACCUUUGGUGCCCGAGUUGUAAUUUGAAGAAAGCUAUCUUGGAUUUGGCCUUUAUCUAUGUUCCUUGGAACAGGACGUCACAGAGGGUGAGAAUCCCGUGCGAUGAGGUGUCCAUUUCUAUGUAAGAUGUUUUCGAAGAGUCGAGUUGUUUGGGAAUGCAGCUCUAAGUGGGUGGUAAAUUCCAUCUAAAGCUAAAUAUUGGCGAGAGACCGAUAGCGAACAAGUACAGUGAUGGAAAGAUGAAAAGAACUUUGAAAAGAGAGUGAAAAAGUACGUGAAAUUGUUGAAAGGGAAGGGUAUUAGAUCAGACUUGGUAUUUAGUUAUCAUUGCUCCUUGUGGGUGGUGCUCUAGCUUUUUACUGGGCCAGCAUCAGUUUUGGUGGCAGGAUAAUGACAUUUGAACGUGGCUCCUCGGAGUGUUAUAGCUUUUGUUGAUACUGUCUACUGGGACUGAGGUCUGCGGCUUUUGCCUAGGAUGCUGGCGUAAUG